UAGGGAAUCUUCGGCAAUGGGGGGAACCCUGACCGAGCAACGCCGCGUGAGUGAAGAAGGUUUUCGGAUCGUAAAGCUCUGUUGUUAAGGAAGAACGAGUGUGAGAAUGGAAAGUUCAUACUGUGACGGUACUUAACCAGAAAGGGACGGCUAACUACGUGCCAGCAGCCGCGGUAAUACGUAGGUCCCGAGCGUUGUCCGGAUUUAUUGGGCGUAAAGCGAGCGCAGGCGGUUAGAUAAGUCUGAUGUGAAAGCCCCCGGCUCAACCGGGGAGGGUCAUUGGAAACUGGUUGACUUGAGUGCAGAAGAGGAGAGCGGAAUUCCAUGUGUAGCGGUGAAAUGCGUAGAUAUAUGGAGGAACACCAGUGGCGAAGGCGACUCUCUGGUCUGUAACUGACGCUGAGGCUCGAAAGCGUGGGUAGCAAACAGG
rnacentral:rRNA from 1 species